rnacentral:rRNA from 1 species
CCUACGGGGGGCUGCAGUCGAGAAUCAUUCACAAUGGGGGAAACCCUGAUGGUGCGACGCCGCGUGGGGGAAUGAAGGUCUUCGGAUUGUAAACCCCUGUCAUGUGGGAGCAAAUUAAAAAGAUAGUACCACAAGAGGAAGAGACGGCUAACUCUGUGCCAGCAGCCGCGGUAAUACAGAGGUCUCAAGCGUUGUUCGGAAUCACUGGGCGUAAAGCGUGCGUAGGCUGUUUCGUAAGUCGUGUGUGAAAGGCGCGGGCUCAACCCGCGGACGGCACAUGAUACUGCGAGACUAGAGUGAUGGAGGGGGAACCGGAAUGCUCGGUGUAGCAGUGAAAUGCGUAGAUAUCGAGAGGAACACUCGUGGUGAAGGCGGGUUCCUGGACAUUAACUGACGCUGAGGCACGAAGGCCAGGGGAGCGAAAGGGAUUAGAUACCCUUGUAGUC